rnacentral:rRNA from 1 species
ACUGAGAACUGCCCAGACUCCUACGGGAGGCUGCAGUCGAGAAUCAUUCGCAAUGGGCGAAAGCCUGACGAUGCGACGCCGUGUGAGCGAUGAAGGCCUUAGGGUCGUAAAGCUCUUUCGCUUGGGAACAAGAGAAGUUGACUAAUAUUCAGCUAAUUUGAGGGUACCAGGUAAAGAAGCACCGGCUAACU